rnacentral:rRNA from 1 species
CAGACAACAGGGAUUGCCCUAGUAACGGCGAGUGAAGCGGCAACAGCUCAAAUUUGAAAGCUGGCUCCGGCCCGCGUUGUAAUUUGCAGAGGAUGCUUCUGGCAAGGUGCCUUCCGAGUUCCCUGGAACGGGACGCCACAGAGGGUGAGAGCCCCGUAUGGAUGGACACCAAGCCUGUGUGAAGCUCCUUCAACGAGUCGAGUAGUUUGGGAAUGCUGCUCAAAAUGGGAGGUAAAUCUCUUCUAAAGCUAAAUACCGGCCAGAGACCGAUAGCGCACAAGUAGAGUGAUCGAAAGAUGAAAAGCACCUUGAAAAGGGGGUUAAACAGUACGUGAAAUUGUUGAAAGGGAAGCGCUUGUGACCAGACUUGUGCCGGGCGGCUCAUCAGGGGUUCUCCCCUGUGCACUCCGCCCGGCUCAGGCCAGCAUCGGUUCUCGUGGGAGGAUAAGAACGGUGGGAACGUGGCCCCCCUCCGGGGGGGUGUUAUAGCCCACCGUACGAUACUCUCGUGGGGACCGAGGUUCGCGCUCCGCAAGGAUGCUGGCGUAAUGGUCAUCAGCGACCCGUCUUGAAACACGGACCAAGGAGUCGUCCAUUAGAGCGAGCGUUUGGGUGUAAAACCCGCACGCGUAAUGAAAGUGAACGCAGGUGAGAGCUUCGGCGCAUCAUCGACCGAUCCUGAUGUCUUCGGAUGGAUUUGAGUAAGAGUUUUAACGGACGGACCCGAAAGACAGUGAACUAUGCUUGUAUAGGGUGAAGCCAGAGGAAACUCUGGUGGAGGCUCGCAGCGGUUCUGACGUGCAAAUCGAUCGUCAAAUAUGAGCAUGGGGGCGAAA